rnacentral:lncRNA from 1 species
CGUAGGUGUGACACUAGUAGGGUUUGUAUCCAAUAAAGGUUAAACAUGUGCAGGUUUUACUGGCGAACAGACAUGAACUUAAGGUGCACCCCUUUUAUCUGGUGGAAGGAGUGCUUUCAACAAGAUGAUCCCUGCAACAUUACACACGAUAUUCAGGGUUGCUUUGAAGACCAUGAUGAAAAGGUGUUGCCCUGACCUCCAGAUUCCCAACUGAGCAUCUGUGGGAUGUGCUGAACCAACAAGUUUGAUCCAUGGCAGCUUCAUCACGCAAGCUACAGGAUCUGCUGCCAGUGGUGCCAGAAAACAGGGCACCUUCACAGUUCUCGUAGAGUCCAUGCCUCACUAGGUCUGCGCUGUUUUGGCAGCAUGCAAAAGACCAACAGCUUAUUAGACAGGUGGUCAUAAUGUGUGCCUCAUCUGUGUAUAAACUGUCAUUAAAGGGUUCACUUCAGC